AUCUAACUGACAGACCUGGGGCAUACUGCCUGCUGCUAAGGUUUCCACUACAGGGGAGAGAAAAUGGUAUCCUUGCGCUUUGUCUGUCCGACUGUGGCAGCCAAGAUUGGGUGGGGAAACACAGGG
rnacentral:snoRNA from 1 species